UUUGCCGACCACAAACAUCUUCGCGGCCUUCUAGUUGUGGCUCUGCUUCAGGCCGAAGAAGGCGCCCUUUCUUCAGACGUGUGCGAAUUUUAAUUUGUUGUCUGGUGAAUCCGUUUCAGAGUGUGUGCUUGGUUGUGUUGACUUUAUCCCAAAUGUUUGCUUCGAAAUGGUCGCAUUGCGAAACGAACUAACAAGGCGCAAGAAAGUGAAUAAUUAGACAAUUGGACCCUAUUAGAGUGUGCAGUCUUCCAGUCAGGAUAAUUGCAUAAGAACCAUACAUUUUUUCUUCUGUAAAACCCACCCUAAUGAUGAACUAAAACAGGAAAACAUGUUUGAGGUGAACACCUUGGUUUUGCUAAUCUGCAUCGCAAGUGGUUUGCAAGUGCAUUCAAUUAGCAUAGACGGGCAAUUGAGUGUUAUAAAAAAUGACUGUUAUGAGCGACUGGCGAUUGGCGAAAAAUUGAGCCCCAAGCAGACGUACAAGAGCUUUGAGCACAACACCGUAUCCAAAUGUGAGAAGGAAUGCACGAAAGAACAGGAAACGUGCAGGGCCUACAGCUUUGGGUAAUUUCAACACUCGACAACACAUUUGGUGUUUGUAACUGAUGAGUUUUUCGGGCUUUUGGGUCUUUUUUGGGCUUGAUCUUGCCAAGCAAAGGACAGUCUUUGUCUUGGUCUUGCUUUCAAACGAGACGCAAACUGAAAUAAGAUUAAUUCAGUAUAAUAACCAGAAUAAUAAUAAAAGUAUUUAAAGACAAUCAUAAUCAGUGCGCAACAAUAAAAUAGUGCCAGCCUGUUUGCUACUUUGUUUAUCUGUGAUUUUCUUAUUAUGAAGUGGUAAAAUCUGAAGUUUUCGAAAAUACUGCAAUUUUCCAACUGGAUAAACUCCGAUUGUUUCAAGCGAUUUUUUCUGAUGAAGCGUUAUUUAGCACUAUUUUUUUCUCUGUUAGUCGCUGUUUUGGUAAAAG